UAACAACUCACCUGCCGAAGCAACUAGCCCUGAAAAUGGAUGGCGCUCUAGCGUCGUGCCUAUACCGGGCCGUCAACGGCAAAGUGGGCCGCUGUCCGCCGGUUUUACCGACCGACUCGGCCGUUAAGCCUUGACGAGUAGGAGGCGCGCGGCGGUGUGCGCAGAAGGGUCUGGGCGUGAGCCUGCCUGGAGCCGCCGUCGGUGAAGAUCUUGGUGGUAGUAGCAAAUACUCUAGCGAGGGCCUGGAGGACUGAUGUGGAGAAGGGUUUCUUGUGAACAGCCGUUGCACAAGAGUCAGUCGAUGCUGAGCCCUAGGAGAAAUCCGAUGUUGAUGGGCAGCAAAACACGUACGGUAGACCGCGGGCCCGCGUCUGUUCGCCUGCGCGAACCGACCGCGCUCACGGCCGUUCGUCUGCUCCCGUCCGGGCGAAAGGGAAUCCGGUUCCUAUUCCGGAACCCGGCUGCGUAACCGCAUUCGCGGGCACUCGCCCAGCGAGCGCUCGUCGGGGUAACCCAAGGUGGCCCGGAGACGCCGGCGGGAGGUCUGGGAAGAGUUGUCUUUUCUUAAUAAGCGUUCGAGUUCCCUGGAAUCCUACAGCAGGGAGAUAGGGUUUGGAACGCGAAGAGCACCGCAGUUGCGGCGGUGUCUGGACCUUCCCCCCGGACCAUGAAAAUCCGGGUAAGGGCGACGCGGAAUUCGCGCCGGCUCGUACCCAUAUCCGCAGCAGGUCUCCAAGGUUAAGAGCCUCUAGUCGAUAGAAUAAUGUAGGUAAGGGAAGUCGGCAAAC
rnacentral:rRNA from 1 species